rnacentral:rRNA from 1 species
UCGAACGAUGAUGCCCACUUGUGGGUGGAUUAGUGGCGAACGGGUGAGUAACACGUGAGUAACCUGCCCUUGACUCUGGGAUAAGCCUGGGAAACUGGGUCUAAUACCGGAUAUGACCUUCCAUCGCAUGGUGGUUGGUGGAAAGCUUUUGUGGUUUUGGAUGGACUCGCGGCCUAUCAGCUUGUUGGUGGGGUAAUGGCCUACCAAGGCGACGACGGGUAGCCGGCCUGAGAGGGUGACCGGCCACACUGGGACUGAGACACGGCCCAGACUCCUACGGGAGGCAGCAGUGGGGAAUAUUGCACAAUGGGCGCAAGCCUGAUGCAGCGACGCCGCGUGAGGGAUGACGGCCUUCGGGUUGUAAACCUCUUUCAGUAGGGAAGAAGCGUAAGUGACGGUACCUGCAGAAGAAGCGCCGGCUAACUACGUGCCAGCAGCCGCGGUAAUACGUAGGGCGCAAGCGUUAUCCGGAAUUAUUGGGCGUAAAGAGCUCGUAGGCGGUUUGUCGCGUCUGCCGUGAAAGUCCGGGGCUCAACUCCGGAUCUGCGGUGGGUACGGGCAGACUAGAGUGAUGUAGGGGAGACUGGAAUUCCUGGUGUAGCGGUGAAAUGCGCAGAUAUCAGGAGGAACACCGAUGGCGAAGGCAGGUCUCUGGGCAUUAACUGACGCUGAGGAGCGAAAGCAUGGGGAGCGAACAGGAUUAGAUACCCUGGUAGUCCAUGCCGUAAACGUUGGGCACUAGGUGUGGGGGACAUUCCACGUUUUCCGCGCCGUAGCUAACGCAUUAAGUGCCCGCCUGGGGAGUACGGCCGCAAGCUAAACUCAAGGAAUUGACGGGGGCC